AAUUUAAUAUAUAAGAAAUACAGUGAAGUUAUAUUUAUAUGGGAUAUGAAGCAACAAAAUUAGGUUCCUGUAAUAUGUGGUAACUACUACAAACUAUUACUGUUCAACACUAGAUAGCACUUCCUUGAUAAGAACAAUUAUUAAAACAUUUUAGGGUUAGGGUACGGUUAUUCUUUAAAAGACCAUGUUAUGUGAAAUAUGUAAAAUAUUCCCAUGUAAAGCACCGAUAAAAAAUACAUAUUGUUGUUACAAUAUUUGUGGUGUGGAGAAUGUUUGAAAUAAAACUUGAUUUAAUAGUGUAAAUUUACUGUCUUUCAUUUGUGAUUUUUUGGCAAAUUUUAUUAUUGAUAGAAAAAUUGACAGUAAAGGUUGCAUUACAAGGUUGCUAACAACUCGUUAAACAAAACACAUCUAUCAACAUCCAACAAAUCCGGGAGCCUCAAACAAUUCAUUCAGUUUCCUUCUGAACGUCGUACAGUAAAAUGGCCAAGUAAGUUUAAGCUGACGGUUCAUAGUUAACCAUUUAUUAAUGCAUUGAUUUUCACAUUUGUGAUUUUUUGGCAAAUUUUAUUAUUGAUAAAAAAAUUGACAGUAAAGGUUGCAUAGCAACGUUGCUAACAACUUGUUAAACAAAACACAUCGAUCAACAACCAACAAAUCGGGGAGCAUCGAACAACUCAUUCAGUUUCCUUCUGAACAUCGUCCAGUAACAUGGCCAUAGACGAGAAUAAGAUGAUGGGCGGUGGAGAAGUGGUGCUCCAUGUCGAGCCCUCCAACGGUGUGAUAACAGUCACAGCCAAGAAGACCCCAGCUGGCGUGAAACCCGUCAAAGUAUUGGAGAUGUUGCCCAUGUCGAUGGUCAACAAGGCGAAGAAGAAGGCCAAAGAACACCAACAGAUGACCCCCAAAACCAAAUAAAUAGAGACUUGUUAAUAUAACAUUUGUAAUGUAGCGACUGUUCAACCUGUUCUUUAUUAAAUAGUUUGAAUUUA